rnacentral:tRNA from 1 species
GCGGGCGUAGCUCAAUUGGUAGAGUGUCAGCCUUCCAAGCUGAAUGUUGCGGGUUCGAGCCCCGUCGCCCGCUCCA